CUUUAUUGAAGAGUUUGAUCCUGGCUCAGGAUGAACGCUGGCGGCGUGCCUAAUACAUGCAAGUCGAGCGAAUGGAUUAAGAGCUUGCUCUUAUGAAGUUAGCGGCGGACGGGUGAGUAACACGUGGGUAACCUGC
rnacentral:rRNA from 1 species